AUGGGCAAAGCCCAAUGUAUAUCGACUUGUAAUAGGGCUACGACCCAGAUUGAUACUGAUAUGGGCUACGCCCAAUAUACUCUGAUACUGUAAGGGGCUAUGGCCCAGAUUAAUAUUGAUAUGGGCUAAGGCCCAGUUAACUUUGAUUUCUGAAUAGGGCUUGGGCCUAGUAAAGCUUGAACUGAUUUGGGCUCUGGUUGGGAUACUUUACACACUGAGUUUUCCAAACUCACCCCCCUUUUUCCCAUCUUUGCAGGUGAGCCUUAGAUCGAUG
rnacentral:lncRNA from 1 species